CGUGAAGUUGGAAUCGCUAGUAAUCGCGGAUCAGCAUGCCGCGGCGAAUACGUUCCCGGGCCUUGUACACACCGCCCGUCACACCAUGAGAGUCGGGAACACCCGAAGCCUGUGAGCUAACUGUAAAGAGGCAGCAGUCGAAGGUAGAGCCAAUGAUUGGGGUGAAGUCGUAACAAGGUACC
rnacentral:rRNA from 1 species